rnacentral:tRNA from 1 species
UGGCUGGUUGCUCAGUGGUUAGAGCAUUGGUCUGAGCACCAAAGGGUGGUGGUAUACAUUUCCAGUCAA